UGGGGAAUUUUCCGCAAUGGGCGAAAGCCUGACGGAGUGACGCCGCGUGGGGGACGAAGGCCUUCGGGUUGUAAACCCCUGUCAGAGGGAAAGAAGGCGGGGCGCGUGAAUAUCGCGCUCCGUUGACGGUACCUUCAGAGGAAGCCCCGGCCAACUCUGUGCCAGCAGCCGCGGUAAGACAGAGGGGGCAAGCGUUGCUCGGAAUCACUGGGCGUAAAGGGCGCGUAGGCGGGAUGGCAAGUCGGUCGUGAAAUCCCUGGGCUCAACUCAGGGGGGUCGGCCGAUACUGCCGUUCUUGAGGGAUGCAGAGGAGACUGGAAUUCCCGGUGUAGCGGUGAAAUGUGUAGAGAUCGGGAGGAACACCGGUGGCGAAGGCGGGUCUCUGGGCAUUCCCUGACGCUGAGGCGCGAAAGCGUGGGGAGCAAACGGGAUUAGAUACCCCGGUAGUCCACGCGGUAAACGAUGACGACUAGGUGUGGGGGGGUUAGGUCCCUUCCGUGCCGCAGCUAACGCAUUAAGUCGUCCGCCUGGGGAGUACGGCCGCAAGGUUGA
rnacentral:rRNA from 1 species